rnacentral:tRNA from 2 species
ACGGGGCUGGCGAAAUUGGAAGACGCAGUGGGUUUAGGUUCCAUGCCUUUAGGCACUAUCGGUUCGACUCCGAUGUCCCGUA